rnacentral:rRNA from 1 species
UACGUAGGUGGCAAGCGUUGUCCGGAUUUACUGGGCGUAAAGAGCGCGCAGGCGGUCGUUCAAGUCGCGUGUGAAAGCCCCCGGCUCAACUGGGGAGGGUCACGCGAUACUGAUCGACUCGAAGGCAGGAGAGGGUAGUGGAAUUCCCGGUGUAGUGGUGAAAUGCGUAGAUAUCGGGAGGAACACCAGUGGCGAAGGCGGCUUUCUGGUCUGCUCUUGACGCUGAGGCGCGAAAGCUAGGGUAGCAAACGGG